rnacentral:ribozyme from 10 species
AAAAAAAAAAAAAAAAAAAAAAAACCCCUUUUUUUUUUUUUUUUUUUAAAAACGGCUUUAUUCCAAAUUAUCUAACUAGUUAUUUUCAUAGAGGCUAUCUGCUGAGAUUUUAGGACUAGAUAAUUCAUUUACUUGACACAAGGGAACUCCCAUCUUCUGAUUGGGUC